rnacentral:tRNA from 1 species
AAAGAAUUAGUUAAUUUAUAACCUUAGCUUGUCAAGCUAAAAUAACUAGCCUUAAUCUAGUACUCUUUA